GUAUGAAAUCUGAUAAAACAAAAGUGUGGCCUAUUUAGUCAAAUAUAGGUCUACAUUAAUGUUUGCUGAAAAACUUUAUAGAGUCCUUUCAUUGUACUUACUGUUAUUGCCUCCACUGAAACUUCCACAAGCAGUCCCUGAUGCCUCUCGAUGUUCUCUAGAUUACUUGACCUGGCCUUCACCUGCAAAUCUACAAGGGCAAGCGUGCACCGUGGUUCCAAUGUCACAACUAUCAAUCCUGUGCAGUCUUCUCCGAUAUCUCAGUGCUUCUCAAUGGCACUAGAUGCCUCUCUGUCAGUAAAUAAAUCAAGACCCAAGUCUUCAAUGACAAUAAGGAAGGCCCAGGCACCUAAUCUGCAUCUAUACAUCUGAAUUUAGAUACUUCAGUCUGGAAUUUCAUCCUGCUCCUGUUUUACUUCGUUGUUCGUAAGACCACCAUUUCUGGGCUGAAACUACAAUGUUAAAUGCCAGAGGAAUACUAAAAGUUUAGGUUCUGUAAGAAGUGUUUUGUCAUGGUUCUCAGAAAGUCUGAAACCAAGGAAACAGCUGGAUAAGCUGUAUGAACAGAAAAUUCUGAGGAUAUAAUUCCUUUUCUAAAGGAAGUGCACACCUCCAGGUUUUUCUGAAAUUAUUCUAUCUGUAAGGCUGUUACUGAAAAUCCAUCUUCCGCAAUACUUACUCCAUUCUGAAUGAAAUGCCCAGCUAAAGUAACCAAAACAAAUAGUUGGCCUACAACAUCAUUACACUUGAUAUCUGUUUGCCCACAGGGCCAGAUUACAUAUAAUUGUUCUCCUUUGUUGUGGAUACAGUUUGCUUCACAAUUAAAUUGCAGCCAGAGUUGGCUGAAGUAUUUUGGCUGUGGGUAGGAAUGUGAAGAUUUCUAUUUUCAAGAGAUUUUCUCCUAUUGCCAGGAAAACAUGCACCAGUAAGUGGAUGAAGACAAAGGACAAGGAAAACAAAACACUGUUAGCAGAUUUGGACUACUCCUGGAUAUGGGGCAGUUCUCAGUCCAUGAACAAGAAGAGUCCUCAGCAGGGCUGGAAGCAGAGGGCUACAGGGAGAUCUGUGGGCAGAUUAAUCACCCAAGCUCUCAGAUGCUCCAGAGAAGAAAUGCGUGAAUUACCCACCUGUGAUGUUACUGCUGCAUAUAAAGGUCUCUGGAGAAUCCAGUGUGUCAGUGAUGAAAUCUGGGCUUUCACGCAUGCCAGGCUAACCAUGAGAAGAGCAUGUGAAGAAAUGUGAACCUGUCAACAUCUGUAGUCACUCCAUCCAGCAUCCUGAUCCUCCAUCUUUCCGCCAACUGUAAAGUGAUGAAAAAAUGGUCCUACUGGAGGGAAAAAAAUUUUGGACAAUUAAUCAACUUUCAAUCCAGCUUUAACUGUUUGACAGUAUGUAAUAAAAUUGCUUUUUCUUUUUACCA
rnacentral:lncRNA from 1 species